GUGAGCAGGGGCUGAGAGGGAGGAAGAGGGCCCGCUUGAUGCAUGGCAGCUUGGCAGGGCUCCCUUCACAGUCCACAGACCUCUGCGGACUAAGCCUUGGCCCCUUUGAGAGGGGACCCGGUGAGGUCCUCCUGCAGUGGGUACCGCUAUCUCCUCCGCCUUCACCUUCCUGACCUCCUGUUCUCCUCACAUACCUCCCUGAUCAGACACAUUGAGCGAGAGAAACUGCAAACCCUGUCUGACCUCCAGAGAGCUCACCACAGGGAUGAAGCUGAGGUUCCCGGAGGCCAGAUUCUCGGUCGUGUACACUGACAGACAAGCCUUCCCACCACUAAGAAAAGCCUCAGCCGCCUCACUGCCUCAGAUGCCUCUGAAUCCAGGUGUGUUCACCACGAGGUAGCACCAAACCAUCCUUCCCCUACAUUCCCCCAGGGCCCUGUGCUUCAAUCCAGCCCGUCCAGUCCAGGCCAACCCUCGUGCUAGAAUGUUCACUCAGCUCAAAAACGGAACCUCGGGCCUACAUGAUUUUCACUCUUUGUAAAGAAGUCAAAGGUCUUUGCAGGAUCAGGCCCUUGGCUCCUUUCCUCUGGACAGAAAAAAUAGGGUGUGGUUGGCAGAAAAGUAGAGACCCUGCCAAACAACCGUCUCGGAGAAAAACCACUCACACAGCUAGAACGAACAGGACACAUGGCCAAGGACACUGCCCUCGCAGGCACAGAGGGCCUGCCUCAGCCAGCUUCUGUGUUGGCCUUGGGUGCUAGACUGUUCUGAGU
ensembl:lncRNA